CACCUCCACCUCUAUCAAAAAAUGAAAACUCAUUCUUACCCACAAGGCCACAAUCAAACGGUUUCUAAAAUUUUACUCCCCAUUUCUCUUUUCAGACCACAACCAUGGCAAUCCACAGCCAUACAGCCACACAGACAACAACUCUUUGCUCAGAGGUUUUUCCUCUAAAAAGGUUUGGUAUAGUUUCUUUUAUAGAGAAUUUUUUUGGUUUAGUUGGAUUUGAUUAGUGGGUUUGAUUGUUUGGUGGGUGAAAAAUAAACUGAGGUUGUGGAAUUGAGAAAGAAAGAGUUCCAUAGUAGAGAGUAUCAUCUAUACUAUUCAACUAGCAGUAUCAUCUAUAGAUAAGGAUGGCAAGAUGAGAUGUUUGGGAAUUAAAAUCAUCAAUAUUUUUCCUUUCAACCUUCUCAUUUUUUUUUCCUAAUGGUGUAAUAUUAUGCAAAAUUGAAAUGAAUGACACAGAUAAGAAAUCAGGGAAAGGAGAAGAGAAUUGUGAAGGCGUCACAUUUGAACGCAAGGUUGAAAAGGAAAACCUAUGGAACCCAUGGUAUUUCAGGGAGAAAAAAAAAAUUAAUGGAAUAAGCAUCAACGUUGAAGCUGUUAUGGCAUUCUGAUGAAAUUUUCUUUGCACUUGCACGGAAGCCUUUAGUAAGUAAUGGGUUUCUUCACAAAAAUCUAUUAAGGGGAAGCUAAAUCAAGGCUUCAUUGAAUGUAUAAGUUGGCAAGGUAUUCUUUUAGUGUCAGAUUGAAGAUCAAAGAAUAAAUGAUUGGAAGGGUCAAGUUUCAUUUGCAAAGAUCAAGAAGGCAAAGGGAUCAUAGCUGGCUACGAUAUUUGGGAAACUCUGGACAAGGUGGCAAUUAAUUGUUUGGCUGUUAAAGCUCUCGAAUAGUAAGAAACAAAGGAUUUAUAAAGAUCAUUAUUCUUCUAGGUAAUGCUUAAGUAGAGGCCUUAUAUCAAAACACAAGGGUUCCUAGAUAGCUUACUCAACAUAGGCUGGCAAAUGGAAGGAAUAUGGUUUAGAAUGGCUGAUAAGAGAGUGCUUAAGAAAGCAAAUGAUCUUGGGUGGUAGAGCACAGACAAGGUUUGAAAUUAGGACUACUUGCUCAAAUACUAUAGCAAAGAAGAGUUAGGUGUUACUAGUAUUUCAACACCGAAGUAAAAUAUAAAAGCUACAUAUUUUAUCAUAGCUGCUUGCUCACUCCCAAAUGCAGUAGAUCAUAGCAAUAUAAUUCUUAGAGUACUGAGAUCAAACCACAAGGAGUAAGAUAAAUUCAAAGACAAUGUAAUCAAACAACAAUUUGGAUGAAUAACAAAAGUAAUAUUUUUUUGCUUGGUGACUAGUUUAAAUCAA